AUUGAACGCUGGCGGCAGGCCUAACACAUGCAAGUCGAACGAGUGGCGGACGGGUGAGUAAUGUCUGGGAAACUGCCUGAUGGAGGGGGAUAACUACUGGAAACGGUAGCUAAUACCGCAUACCAUCGGAUGUGCCCAGAUGGGAGUAGCUAGUAGGGGGGGUAAAGGCUCACCUAGGCGACGAUCCCUAGCUGGUCUGAGUGGAUGACCUGCAACCCUGGAACUGAGCCACCGUCCAGACUCCUCCGGGAGGCAGCAGUGGGGAGUAUUGCACAAUGGUCUCAAGCCUGAUGCAUCCAUGACGCGUGUAUGAAGAAGGCAUUGGGGUUGUAAAGUACUUUCAGCGGGGGGGCGUUACCCGCAGAAGAAGCCCCGGCUAACUCCGUGCCAGCCGCCGCGGUAAUAC
rnacentral:rRNA from 1 species